GGGGGUGUGGCGCAGUUGGUAGCGCGUCUGCUUCGCAUGUGGAAGGUCUCGGGUUCGACUCCUGACGCCUCCA
rfam:Babjeviella inositovora NRRL Y-12698 unplaced genomic scaffold BABINscaffold_15, whole genome shotgun sequence.